UCACCAGAAUGUGAUUUUCAGUCUGUUUGAACUCUGCUCAUACGUCUUCUGUAUCCAUAUUUAAUCUUAUAGAUGUCCAUUCAUUGUUGAAGUAGGAUGCUAAAAACUUCUUCAAGUGAAAAUUUGCUUAAUGGCUGCAGCAUUGUCAGCUUCAGCAAUGUUAUUUGAUAAAUAAUGUUUUUGAUAAAAAAAAGUGAGCAAAAUUAGCUACUCACCUUGAGCUGAUUGGUGUGUCAUACUUAUAAAGACAUUAACGCCAUUGAGAUGUUAUUAACUUUCAAGCCACACCUCUUCUUCUAGUAUAAUUGAACACAUUCAAGACAACCAUACAGAUACUUCCAGUUUGUCCACCCAAGCUGACAAGUGGAAGAAAUCAUGUCAGUCAUUUUUGAUUGAGCUAAAAAGGAAGAAGAAGAUGGAAACUGCUUGCAGGCUAGUGAGAAAUAGUUAACAGUGUGAUGACUGGCCUACACUUCUUUUCAUAUUGUAUACCGUGAUGCAGACAGCUUGGAUGUAGAUGUGAUUACCCUUUGUAAUAUAGUAGUUGGGCUUGCCACCCCAUGAUUAUGCAGAAGGAGAAGUUGAUCUUAAAAAAGUGAAAAAGGUUGCAAUUGGAUAAUAUUUUUUAUGAUUUUCGUGAAGGCCUUAUGUAUCACUUUGUACAACUUUUUGGUAAUCAAUCACUUUCAGAAAAGACUGUCAACAAUGGUUUUGCAGAAUUUUGCCUUGGAUGUGCUUCCAGUUGUGAAGGCUGACCAAAAUUAGUUGUUGGUUUCAAAAAGCAUCAACGCUCUACACAUCAUCAUUUGGAGAGGAUUGGUAUGUGACUUAACAGUGAGGUAGAGGCAUCCAAAGGAAUAUGUAAGAUGCCAGUACAUUUGAUUUCGCAUGGACAUUCAGUUUUGAAAAAGGAUCUGUUCUAAGGGACAAUUUGUUCACAGCUCAAAAAAAGUCUUUUGUCAAUUAGUAUUAGGAAAUAUUUAAAAAAUUCGACUGAGGAAAUGCAAAAUUUGUAUCCAACAAAACUUGAUAUAUUUGUAUGAUCUCUAAACUUGGCAGUAAUUGACUGUAUGGAUGUUCAAAGAUGAACUGAAACCAAGAAAUGUUCUUCUUUCUUAAAGCACUCCCAAAAGAAUGAUCACCUUUUUCUUUGGUUACACUGGAUGUAUUGUCACUAUUGCUUUAAUGGAUCGGACAAUAGUUAAUGCUGAAUGGUAUACAACAAUGUGUUUGCCACAAGUCCUUGAUGAAAUCAGGAAAACAACUGAAAACAUUGCAUCAGUCUUCUUCGUGACAGUUACAGCUGUCACACAGCAUGUUAAACAGUUCAUUAUUUAUUCCAUGGAGUUUUGGGAUUGCAGCUGAAUGAUGUCGAUUUCUUGGCAGGAUAUUUUGGCUGACAACCAUUCAGCCCUCUGCAGUGAAGGUGAAGCUAUCCACUGUUGUGAAGAAGAAUGUUGACUUAAGUGCCAGCAUUGGAAUUGGAAUUGUAAAAUGGUGGAAAUGGUAGAGGAGAAAUGCUUUUGGAUUAUAUGAGGAUAUCUAAACCAUUGGACAGAUGCAUACACAAACACAGAUGUAACAAAUGAUAAAAAUUCCAUCUAAGUAUCGAAGAAUGGGUAGCAAUUGCUGGUUUUGCUGUGACUAGCCAACAAGCUGGGCUUCAAUCAGGGGCGAAAACUUGUAUAUACUGCAAUGACUUCUUCUUCUCUCUCUCUCUCUCUCUCUCUC